GGUCCUUAAGAGGUCACUAAGAAGCACUGGGCAGUUUCUUAGGAAUUACACAAGCAAGCUAACCUUCAUAGUAAACCGCUGCCCAGUGGAGAAAAGGCCAACCCAUAGAUAAAAAAGCAAGGCUCAACAGAGAGUCUGAAACAGGGCCAGAAGUUUGCCCAACAGAAGCUGUAGAACAGAAGUCACCCUCGGUCUAUAAAGAUGUCAGCUACUUACCAGUCCUCACUGUUUCCCUCACAAAAGCAUUGUUCAUCCUUAACAAACAAACAAAUAAAAUAAAUAAUAUGAUCUGAUUUAUUUUUACUGUGGAGGAUGUAGGAGGGUGUGUGCAAGCUACCCAGUGCACGUGGAGGUCAGAGGACGAUGUUCAGGAUCUGGUUCUCUUCUUGCACUGUGGCUCAGGCUCAGGUUGUCAGGCUUCGUUGUGAUGAGCCAUCUUGCCAACCUAAUUGAUGCUGUUUUGUUUUUGAAAACACAUAUUUUCACAUAUGUAAUCUCUCUCUCUCUCUCUCUCUCUCUCUCUCUCUCACCCUCCAAAAUUGUAAGCUAUUAGCAAUAUUCAACUGUUAAAAUUAAAAUUAAAUUUUAUUUAGCAGCUUAAGCUGGCCUUGUAUUUGCAAUUCUUUCUUCCUUAGUCUCCCCAGUGCUGGACCACAGCAUAUGUACAUGUCUGGGUUUGGGUUUCAUGAGAUUUUUUCUUUUCUUUUUCUUUUUUCUUUUUUUGGUUUUUUGAGACAGGGUUUCUCUGUAUAGCCCUGGCUGUCCUGGAACUCACUUUGUAGACCAGACUGGCCUCGACUCAGAAACCCGCCUGCCUCUGCCUCCCGAGUGCUGGGAUUAAAGGCGUGCACCACCAUGCCCGGCUUUCAUGAGACAAUUUUAAUACAUCUUUAUUCAUUUUAAAAGAAUUCACCCCCCCUUCAGACACCUCAGAAGAGGGUGUCAGAUCCCAUCACAGGCGGCUGUGAGCCACCGCGUGGUUGCUGGGGAUUGAACUCAAGAGUCAGUGCUCUUAACUGCUGAGCCAUCUUUCUAGCCCCCACAGUUUUGUUUUUAAUAGCAGAAUUUUAAAAUACAAAUGUCAAAGGAACACAGCACAUAAAUCAUCUACAAGCAGAAAUGUUCUGAGAGGCAGCUGAGAAGGCAGCAGAGCCAGGGAGAGGCUGCCUACUCAACACCCUUCCUUCCUUUUCUGCCUCUGAGGUUUCUCCAUACUCACGUUUCUGAGAGUACAACAGCCCUCAAGUUUGAUAGUCCUAACAGACAUGGCCAUAAAGGGGGCUGGAGAGAAGGCUCAAAUGUUAAGAUCACUUGUUGCUCUUGCAGAGAACUCAGGUUCCAGGUCCCAGUACCACAUGGAACUUAUAAUCUCCUACAACAGGGGAUCCAACACCCUCUUCUGACUUCCAAUAUGCACAUGGUCCACAUACAUACACACAAGCAAAACACUUAUUUUCACAGAAUAGCAGCAGAUCAGCUCUAGAAUUACCAAACUGGUUCCUCAGACAGAAGUGAACAGUGGAUUGACACUUCAAAUACCAAUCUGGGUAAAUAUAAUAAACUAUUCUUGAGCUCUUUCUGGAGGUAUAGCUAACAAAAAUUUUAAAAAUGUGUGAUAUGGCCAAACAUCAAGGCUAGGAAUUGACAACCUUUUCCAAGGAGGGCCUGCUGUGGUCUGAGGGUGAAAUGUCGCCCAUUGGCUCAUGCAUCUGAACACUUAGUUCCUAGAAGGUGGUGAUGUUUUGGAAGGUUGGAGAAUUUUCAGGAGAUUUGGCCUUGCUACAAGAUGGGUGAGCAUUGGCUUUUCAAAGCUUGACCAUCCUACUUCCUGUCCACUCUCUGCCUCUUGAUACAGAUACAAGGUAACCAACUGCUUCAUGUUCUUGCCACCACAGCUUCCAGGCCAUGACUGUAUCCCUUUUUAAAAUGUAAAUCCCCCGCUCCCACAAAUAAAAAAUCCCUGUAUCUGGUUACAGCUAUGAGAAAGUAACCAACACAGGGUCAAGGGUCACAAUAGUAAUGGCAGAUGCUCCUUUUACCACAAUACCAAUUCCUGUGUAAAGCACGUACGGCAGAGACCAACACCUCUGGUUUAGUAUUGCUGUCUAAAAGGACAAACUAUAGCACCUUCUGGAAUUCUUAUCUAAGGUCAGCCUUGCUGUCUUGGAAGUACCACAGGUAUAAAACAAUCAUUCUAGAUAGCCAGGCAUGGUGAUACAUGCCCAGUUCAACACCUGGGAGGCAGAGGCGGAGGAUUAAGAGUGCCACAUCGGAGCCAGGAACAAUGAAGUAUGCCCGUAAUCCCUACACUUGGGAUGUAGAGGCAAGAGGAUUGAGAAGGUCAAGGUCAUUCUAGACCACGAGACACUACUUCAAAACCAACCAACCAACCAACCAACCAAUCUACCUACCUAGUUCAGUCUUAAUUACAUGGCAUGAAUCUCUCUCAACACUCUAGGUAAUAUUUAGAUCUUUUCUUUCUUUCUUUUGUACAAAGUCAGGCACAGAAGAAAGCCUAGAGGCCUACAAGUAUUUUUAAAGUAUCUGUAGUUCUUAUGAUUAAAAGGAAGACUGACUCAAGAAUCUAGAUCUUAGCCGGGUGUGGUUGCGCACGCCUUUAAUCCCAGCACUCAGGGGGCAGAGGCAGGUGGAUUUCUGAGUUCGAGGCCAGCCUGGUCUACAGAGUAAGUUCCAGGACAGCCAGGGCUAUACAGAGAAACCCUGUCUCGAAAAACCAAAAAAAAAAAAAAAAAAAAAAAAAAGAUUUACUUUUUCUUUAUAUGAGCACACUGUCUUCAGACACACCAGGAGAGGGCAUCGGAUCUCAUUACAGAUGUUGUAAGCCACCAUGUGGUUGGUGGAAUCUGAACUCGGGACCUUUGGAAGAACAGUCAGUGCUCUU
rnacentral:lncRNA from 1 species